UUGACGCUGGCGGCGGCUUAACACAUGCAAGUCGAGCGGAGAGAGGUAGCUUGCUACUGAUCUUAGCGGCGGACGGGUGAGUAAUGCUUAGGAAUCUGCCUAUUAGUGGGGGACAACAUUUCGAAAGGAAUGCUAAUACCGCAUACGUCCUACGGGAGAAAGCAGGGGAUCUUCGGACCUUGCGCUAAUAGAUGAGCCUAAGUCGGAUUAGCUAGUUGGUGGGGUAAAGGCCUACCAAGGCGACGAUCUGUAGCGGGUCUGAGAGGAUGAUCCGCCACACUGGGACUGAGACACGGCCCAGACUCCUACGGGAGGCAGCAGUGGGGAAUAUUGGACAAUGGGCGCAAGCCUGAUCCAGCCAUGCCGCGUGUGUGAAGAAGGCCUUAUGGUUGUAAAGCACUUUAAGCGAGGAGGAGGCUACUUUAGUUAAUACCUAGAGAUAGUGGACCGUUACUCGCAGAAUAAAGCACCGGUUAACUYUGUGCCAGCAGCCGCGGUAAUACAAAGGGUGCAAGCGUUAA
rnacentral:rRNA from 1 species